GAGUUUGAUCCUGGCUCAGAAUGAACGCUGGCGGCGUGCUUAACACAUGCAAGUCGAACGGUAACAGGAGAAGCUUGCUUCUUGCUGACGAGUGGCGCACGGGUGAGUAAUGCAUAGGUAACGUGCCCCUUAGUCUGGGAUAGCCACUGGAAACGGUGAAUAAUACUGGAUACUCCUUCUACCUUGAUGGUAGUUGGGAAAGUUUUUCGCUAAGGGAUCGGCCUAUGUUGUAUCAGGUAGUUGGUGAGGUAAUGGCUCACCAAGCCUAUGACACAUAGCGGGUCCGAGAGGAUGAUCCGCCACACUGGUACUGAGACACGGACCAGACUCCUACGGGAGGCAGCAGUGGGGAAUAUUGCACAAUGGACGAAAGUCUGAUGCAGCAACGCCGCGUGGAGGAUGACACAUUUCGGUGCGUAAACUCCUUUUAUAUAAGAAGAUAAUGACGGUAUUAUAUGAAUAAGCACCGGCUAACUCCGUGCCAGCAGCCGCGGUAAUACGGAGGGUGCAAGCGUUAUUCGGAAUCACUGGGCGUAAAGGGUGCGUAGGCGGUUUGGAAAGUCAGAUGUGAAAGCCUACAGCUUAACUGUAGAACUGCAUUUGAAACUUCCAGACUAGAAUACUGAAGGGGCAGAUGGAAUUAGUGGUGUAGGGGUAAAAUCCGUAGAUAUCACUAGGAAUACCGAAAGCGAAAGCGAUCUGCUGGGAAGUUAUUGACGCUGAGGCACGAAAGCGUGGGGAGCAAACGGGAUUAGAUACCCCGGUAGUCCACGCCCUAAACGAUGAAUGCUAGUCGUCGGAAAGCUCGUCUUUUCGGUGAUGCAGUUAACACAUUAAGCAUUCCGCCUGGGGAGUACGGUCGCAAGAUUAAAACUCAAAGGAAUAGACGGGGACCCGCACAAGUGGUGGGGCAUGUGGUUUAAUUCGAAGAUACGCGAAGAACCUUACCUAGCCUUGACAUUGAUAGAAUCUGGUAGAGAUACCGG
rnacentral:rRNA from 1 species